AUCAACAGGGUGGCUAAAAUGAAGAUUGCAUAAGAACCCCAGACAUGAAUUCCAAGAGUCCCUGUGAAGUAGCUGUGAAUUUGCUGCAAAUGGGAAAAAAAACAGAUUUAAUAUGCUCGUAUUACACAUAUUUACUACCCAUUCUGUAAACUGUUCUUAAGUUAAUUCCCAAUUGAGACUUUUCAUUCAACAGCCAC